rnacentral:antisense_RNA from 1 species
CUUCACCGACCCCAGCCGCAACGGCCGAUCCACCGGCCGACCCUGCCCGUACGUGGCGAUCAACGCCUGCGCCUC